UACGGAGGAUGCGAGCGUUAUCCGGAUUUAUUGGGUUUAAAGGGUGCGUAGGCGGACUGUCAAGUCAGCGGUAAAAUUGAGAGGCUCAACCUCUUCCCGCCGUUGAAACUGGUGGUCUUGAGUGGAUGAGCAGUACGCGGAAUGCGUGGUGUAGCGGUGAAAUGCAUAGAUAUCACGCAGAACUCCGAUUGCGAAGGCAGCGUACCGGCAUCCAACUGACGCUGAGGCACGAAAGCGUGGGGAUCAAACAGG
rnacentral:rRNA from 1 species